GACGAACGCUGGCGGCGUGCUUAACACAUGCAAGUCGAACGGAAAGGCCCUGCUUUUGUGGGGUGCUCGAGUGGCGAACGGGUGAGUAACACGUGAGUAACCUGCCCUUGACUUUGGGAUAACUUCAGGAAACUGGGGCUAAUACCGGAUAGGAGCUCCUGCUGCAUGGUGGGGGUUGGAAAGUUUCGGCGGUUGGGGAUGGACUCGCGGCUUAUCAGCUUGUUGGUGGGGUAGUGGCUUACCAAGGCUUUGACGGGUAGCCGGCCUGAGAGGGUGACCGGCCACACUGGGACUGAGAGACGGCCGAGGCUGCUACGGGAGGCAGCAGGGGGGAAUAUUGCACAAUGGGCGGAAGCCUGAUGCAGCAACGCCGCGUGCGGGAUGACGGCCUUCGGGUUGUAAACCGCUUUCGCCUGUGACGAAGCGUGAGUGACGGUAAUGGGUAAAGAAGCACCGGCUAACUACGUG
rnacentral:rRNA from 1 species